rnacentral:lncRNA from 1 species
ACUAACUAAACAACAAUAAGGGGGGAAACCUGAAGAAAACGAAUAUAUAAAACUAAAACUGAGUCAGUGUUGAACGCUUGAAAUUAACACAAUGUUGUAAGUCAAGUAUACUUUCAUUUUAAGAAAUCAAGAUACUGGGAACCCAUCUAUUGGCCUUUUUCUAAUUUGACCAGUUUUCCCACUCGCGCACUUUCAGGGAGAGACAUUUAGACGGGAAUGGCUGCCUCAGCCAUGACGGAGAGUGAAGGAGAUACACGUAAAGCCCUCAGCACACUAACUGUGGUUAGUCAUUUUCAUCAGUGACCAUUUUGAGGAACAGAUGUGGAGACAUCGCACUAGAAUCUCUCACAACUUGGAGAACCAUUCCUUCCAUCUCCUCAGCUCCACAUUCACAGGACUCUGUUCUUCAAGAGAGGCCUCAUGAAGGGGAGCACGGCCACUGGGCCUCUGGAAGGCACAUCACAGGUGAGUUAUGGUUUGUUUUUUCUUACAAUG